rnacentral:rRNA from 1 species
CCUACGGGCGGCAGCAGUGAGGAAUAUUGGUCAAUGGGCGGAAGCCUGAACCAGCCAAGUAGCGUGCAGGAUGACUGCCCUACGGGUUGUAAACUGCUUUUAUACGGGAAUAACGCGCCUUAUGUGUAGGGCUUUGCAUGUACCGUAUGAAUAAGGACCGGCUAAUUCCGUGCCAGCAGCCGCGGUAAUACGGAAGGUCCGGGCGUUAUCCGGAUUUAUUGGGUUUAAAGGGAGCGUAGGCGGGAUGUCAAGCGUGCUGUGAAAUUUUCGGGCUCAACCCGGGCCUUGCAGUGGCAACUGGCAUGUUUGAGUCCACGGAAGGCAGGCGGAAUUCGUGGUGUAGCGGUGAAAUGCUUAGAUAUGACGAAGAACCCCGAUUGCGAAGGCAGCUUGCUGCAGCGGAACUGACGCUGAGGCACGAAGGCCAGGGGAGCGAAAGGGAUUAGAUACCCCAGUAGUC